CCUACGGGCGGCUGCAGUCGAGAAUUAUUCACAAUGGGGGAAACCCUGAUGGUGCGACGCCGCGUGGGGGAAUGAAGGUCUUCGGAUUGUAAACCCCUGUCAUGUGGGAGCAAAUUAAAAAGAUAGUACCACAAGAGGAAGAGACGGCUAACUCUGUGCCAGCAGCCGCGGGAAUACAGAGGUCUCAAGCGUUGUUCGGAAUCACUGGGCGUAAAGCGUGCGUAGGCUGUUUCGUAAGUCGUGUGUGAAAGGCGCGGGCUCAACCCGCGGACGGCACAUGAUACUGCGAGACUAGAGUAAUGGAGGGGGAACCGGAAUUCUCGGUGUAGCAGUGAAAUGCGUAGAUAUCGAGAGGAACACUCGUGGCGAAGGCGGGUUCCUGGACAUUAACUGACGCUGAGGCACGAAGGCCAGGGGAGCGAAAGGGAUUAGAUACCCGAGUAGUC
rnacentral:rRNA from 1 species